rnacentral:lncRNA from 1 species
CCGAACCAGACCUAAUAUCCAAGUUUAAACAUCUGGAAAAAAAUAUUUAUAAUUCCUGAGAGAAAUAUGGAAAUGUUGAUCAUUAACUGUGGUUAGAGACUUCAGUCGCACAUGCACUGCUUCAGUGUGAAUAGCCGGCACUUCACUGCGUACAGCAUAGUGUAAAUUUUGGAUCUCUGCUAAGGAUUUCCAUGUGUCUUUAAUUCUGGGUCUGUUCCUGCUGACUAGAGCUAAAAGUACGAUGUGUUCAGAAAUGGAGUUCCGCCUGCUAGUGACCCCACUCUACUCCUUUUUGCACAGCUCUCUCUAAAAUGUAUUCUUUCCUUUUCUCUCUGUGUACUUUUAAUGCAGUCUAAUGGCUCUCAUCCCUCUGGUGUCUGAAAUGCAUAAUUUUGUGGGUUUUAGGCAGCACCCCCGAAGUCUCUGAUGCUGUCAGCUCUGGCUGAGGGACAGGGAGUGGAGGAACAGUGGCCCUCUGUAGGUCAUUCUUCAUGAAGCCCUUUAAACACACGUUCGAUGAAGGAACCCAAACCACAAUAAUAGUUUGGAAAAGUGCAGGACCAUCUCCUGUGGACAGUGGUGCAUUCUAAUGCCUUCAGGAUGUGGGGGCAAAUGAUUUAAGCGUCGGAAGGAAUGAUCAGAAUUCCUCUCUCAGCUUCUGAUUAUUUGAUUGUGUAUCCUGAGUUGUUUGAUGCCUCUGAAAAUCCGAGCACUGGUGUAAGUGGCUAAGCUUGAACUCCUAACUUUCCCCACUCUUGGAGGGGGUAAAUUGUAAAGGCAAGUUAAUCUUGGCAGAGCUGGGAUUAGAAGCCUUAUAUCUUCAAAUGAGUGCUCUAACCACAAAGAGCCUCCCGUUCCCCAUCUUCUGAUUAGUUUCAAACUCAAGUUUAAAGCCAAUCACAAGUUAAUAUAAUAAGAGGAAUAAGUGCUCCUCAGAUGCUCAAAAUAUUUUUUUUCAGAUUGUAGUUUCUCUGUACCAGUUUCAGCUGGCUUAUGAAGGGACUGUAGCAAAGCAAACUGACUUGUAUUAAUUUUUUUAAUCAGUGAAAUUAAGCUGAGGGCCAACUUGUAAGACUUUGGUUCUACUGGAAUAACAUCUCUGAUUAGCUUGGGGCAAAAUUACUAAUUCCAGUCAGGGAUUUUGAAUUUUUCAUUGGGCUUAAUGUGCAAAGCCCUUAAA